rnacentral:rRNA from 1 species
AACGAACGCUGGCGGCAGGCCUAACACAUGCAAGUCGAACGCUCCAGCAAUGGAGAGUGGCAGACGGGUGAGUAACGCGUGGGAACCUUCCCUACGGUUCGGAAUAGCUCAGGGAAACUUGAGGUAAUACCGGAUAAGCCCUUCGGGGGAAAGAUUUAUCGCCAUUGGAUGGGCCCGCGUAGGAUUAGCUAGUUGGUGAGGUAACGGCUCACCAAGGCGACGAUCCUUAGCAGGUCUGAGAGGAUGAUCAGCCACACUGGGACUGAGACACGGCCCAGACUCCUACGGGAGGCAGCAGUGGGGAAUAUUGGACAAUGGGCGCAAGCCUGA